CCCAGGGUGGAGUUCCAUACACGCCAGGCCGGUGUGGUCUGUCCUUACAAAUACAUCACAGCCAUUCCCUUCCAAGUGGAUUAAGCUGAACCUCUGACAUUGCCAUGUGCUGAGGCCAAAAUGUUCUAAUACCAGCAGUUUCAUAUGAUUCAACCUAAACAGCAAACUCAUCUGUACCCUGUGCAAACUGACCUGAGUCUCAAUUUGAACCGAAGCUUAAGAGAACAGAGUUUAGAGUUAGAACAUCGGAGUUCAAGUCCUGGUUUUGCCGUUUUCUAGCUCUGUGAUCUUCAGCAAGUCACAUGUAUUUCCAAGGCCUCGAUUUCUUCCUCUGCAAAAUGGCAAGAUGCUCAUCACAGGACCUACUUCACGGGACUGGCUUGGGACUUGAGAUAGCUUAAAUAAGAGUGGCCACAAUGCUCCAUGGAACAGAAAUGUGAAGACCAUCCCCAAACCAGGUCUAGGCAUCUUCUCCGCAGGAGGCCCCAGAGACAUUGUGAUUGACUGGCCAAGUUUCCAACUACAAGGGAAAGCCAGGGAAAAUGACUACUUUCUUUACGCCUCUCAGUUAUGAUACCUUUUAUGUCUUUCUCAAGCCCUGGCUCUCUGAGGUCCAAUGUUAAAACAUAAAUUAUGCAUGCCUGGAAUGGAA